UACGAAGGGAGCUAGCGUUGUUCGGAAUCACUGGGCGUAAAGCGCACGUAGGCGGAUUUGUCAGUCAGGGGUGAAAUCCCGGGGCUCAACCUCGGAACUGCCUUUGAUACAGCAAGUCUUGAGUUCGAGAGAGGUGGGUGGAAUACCUAGUGUAGAGGUGAAAUUCGUAGAUAUUAGGAAGAACACCGGUGGCGAAGGCGGCCCACUGGCUCGAUACUGACGCUGAGGUGCGAAAGCGUGGGGAGCAAACAGG
rnacentral:rRNA from 1 species